CUUGGUCAUUUAGAGGAAGUAAAAGUCGUAACAAGGUUUCCGUAGGUGAACCUGCGGAAGGAUCAUUAUUGAAAUAAACAUUUGAUAGGCUGUUGCUGGCCCUUCUUGGGUAGUGUGCACGCUUGUCAUUUAUUUAUCUAUUUCCACCUGUGCACCUUUUUGUAGACCUUAGAGAAGACUGCUGUGCGGGCCUCUCUAGGUUCUAUGUUACUUCCCUUCCUCCUAUGAAUGUAAUAGAAUGUUGAUCUGGGUCUUUCGCCCAUAAAGUUAUAUACAACUUUUCAGCAAUGGAUCUCUUGGCUUCUCGCAUCGAUGAAAGAACGCAGCGAAAUGCGAUAAGUAAUGUGAAUUCGCAGAAUUUCAGUGAAUCAUCGAAUCUUUUGAACGCAUCUUUGCGCUUCCUGGGUAUUUCUGAGGAGCAUGCCUGUUUUGAGUGUCAUUUAAAUUUCUCAACCCACACUGUCUUUCGAUUAGUUGUGGGCUUGGGAAUUCGGGGGGAAUUUUUUGUUGGUGGGGCUUCUUAUGCAGUUCUUGCCUCCCCCUGAAAAUUUAAUUCAGCCGGUAACCUUCGAGUUGGAAACUCGUUCUUACAGGUUGUUGAUAAAUUCAUUCUACAUCCCUAGACAUUCCUGCCUGGGAAUUGCUUGCUUUCUCUAAAACUGGAUCUUCCCUGGACAAUCCUUUGACCCUUCAAAUUCCAGGUAGGACUUACCCCGCUUGAAACUUUAAGCAUAUUCAAUAAAGCGGAAGA
rnacentral:rRNA from 1 species